GACGAACGCUGGCGGCGUGCCUAACACAUGCAAGUCGAGCGAAUGAAGUUCCUUCGGGACUGGAUUUAGCGGCGGACGGGUGAGUAACACGUGGGCAACCUGCCUCAUAGAGGGGAAUAGCCUUCCGAAAGGGAGAUUAAUACCGCAUAAGAUUGUAGUAUCGCAUGAUACAGCAAUUAAAGGAGCAAUCCGCUAUGAGAUGGGCCCGCGGCGCAUUAGCUAGUUGGUGAGGUAACGGCUCACCAAGGCGACGAUGCGUAGCCGACCUGAGAGGGUGAUCGGCCACAUUGGGACUGAGACACGGCCCAGACUCCUACGGGAGGCAGCAGUGGGGAAUAUUGCACAAUGGGGGAAACCCUGAUGCAGCAACGCCGCGUGAGUGAUGACGGCCUUCGGGUUGUAAAGCUCUGUCUUCAGGGACGAUAAUGACGGUACCUGAGGAGGAGGCCACGGCUAACUACGUG
rnacentral:rRNA from 1 species